GACGAACGCUGGCGGCAUGCCUAACACAUGCAAGUCGAACGAGAAGGUCCGGGGUCGAGUGGCGCACGGGUGCGCAACGCGUGGGAAUGUGCGUAAAGGGUCGGAAUAACAGUUAGAAAUGACGGCUAAUACCGGAUGAUGACGUUAAGUGCAAAGAUUUAUCGCCUGAGGAUGAGCCCGCGUAGGUGUAGCUAGUGGGUGUGGUAAAGGCACACCAAGGCGACGAUCCGUAGCUGGUCUGAGAGGGUGAUCAGCCACACUGGGACUGAGACACGGCCCAGACUCCUACGGGAGGCAGCAGUGGGUAAUAUUGGACAGUGGGCGCAAGCCUGAUCCAGCAAUGCCGCGUGAGUGAUGAAGGCCUUAGGGUUGUAAAGCUCUUUUACCCGAGAUGAUAAUGACAGUACCGGGAGAAUAAGCCCCGGCUAACUCCGUG
rnacentral:rRNA from 1 species